rnacentral:sRNA from 1 species
AAAGCUCAUGCCCCAGCCAGAACCUGAAAAAUUCAGAGAUGGAAAAUGAAAAUGACAAGAUUGUUCCCAAAGCAACAGCCAGGCUACCUGAAGCAGAGGAGCUGAUCGCGCCUGGAACGCCGAUUCAAUUCGAUAUUGUGCUUCCUGCUACAGAAUUCCUUGAUCAGAACAGAGGGAGCAGUUCAAGUGUUAAGUGCCCUUCUAGCUGCAGCUGUCGUGUUUGUUCAACUCUGGCUAUUCCCCUAGGCGUACCAACCCUUUUGGUGAAACUGAGGAUGAAUCAUUUCCAGAAGCAGAAGAUUCUCUUUUGCAGCAGAUGUUUAUAGUUCGGUUUUUGGGAUCAAUGGCAGUUAAAACAGACAGCACUACUGA